GCGCGCGCGCUCGCAGCGCUGUCCCGCUCCGCGCGUCCCCUCCUCCCUGCGCUACCGUGCGUUGGCGCGCGUGGACUGGCGAAGGGGCGAACCCGGAAGACAGGACCGCAGGGAGAAGACACCCUCAGGGGCGCGUCACCCCGUUCCCCUCAGCUCGAAAGCGUCGUGUCCUUUCACCCGUUCAGAGUAUUCAUGAGCGCCUGGGUCAACCCUGAGCUUGGGAGAGGGUCGGAGGAGGCUCUGCCGCCCUAGGUUUCUUUCUCAGGGGGCUGCACUAACCCACCACUGGUGUGCAAGGCCCACCCCGCCUCACACACUUAUGUGGAAACAAAAGAAAACACGACAGUGAAAAGCGUGGGAUACAGCACCCGCCAAAUGGCCUGACAAACAGGACAACUGAGGAAGAAAACUGGGAGAGUGAUUAGAGGGGAAAAUGACCCACCUCCCCGACAGCUGCAGGAUGCGAACUGUUCAAGAAAUUAUAAGAGAAUGUGUCGCAGUGGCUAGGCGAAGGAAGCCUGGCACCUCUGAAAGUUUCAGGAUAAGCAAGGAACUGGCAUUAGAGUGGAAUGGAGGUUGAGCCCCUGCCUGGACACCAAGACCGGCAGAUUCCUCUUUUCUGCUCUGGUCUGAGUGGCGGUAGAUCUGUCCUGUUCUCAUGGCCUGUGGAAGCCCUUCACUGGCAGUGACUACCGGGGCUGUGCGUCAACCUGAAUCUAGCAGGCAGAGUGGACAGCGAGAGAGAGAGACAGAGAGAAAGGUCUUCCUUUGCUGUUGGUUCACCCUCCAAUGGCUGCCGCAGCUGGCGCACUGCGGUUGGCACACCGCACUGAUCUGAAGGCAGGAGCCAGGUGCUUCUCCUGGUCUCCCAUGGGGUGCAGGGCACAAGGACUUGGGCCAUCCUCCACUGCACUCCCUGGCCACAGCAGAGAGCUGGCCUGGAAGAGGGGCAACCGGGACAGAAUCCGGCGCCCCGACCGGGACUAGAACCCAGUGUGCCAGCGCCGCAAGGUGGAGGAUUAGCCUAGUGAGCUGCGGCGCCGGCCACUAUAUUUCUUUCUAGAGUAUUCAUUUCAUCUUUGGUGCUGAGUCCCUGCCCUCAUAAAGCUUACAUUCUGAUGGUGUUAGCUGGGCAGACAAUAAUCAAAUGAGUACAUACAAAGGGUAUCAGAUGCUGAUAAGUUGCACAAAGAAACAGAAGGCAGUAAGGACUGUACUGAGUAUUGCAGGCACAGCAUACAUGUACGGAGAGGACUGCAUUUAGCACACCUUGAAGGAACAAGGAAGCCUACGUGUUUGGGGAAGAAUGAGAAUUAGGAAGUGAGGUCAGAGAUGUGCUUGAGUGGGGAUUAGCCAGACCAUGCAGGGUCUAGGCCAUUUUCAUAAAAAGACUUUGGCUUGUCCUCUAUCACAGUGAAGUCCAGGGUAGUGCCUAUGCAAGGGCAAUAACAGAACUGAAGGAAAAGGAGUUAAGAGGCUCUUGGCAAAUGUUAAGAAUUUUGAUCCAGUUAUUUUUACAAUACUAUGAACUGUAAAGAUAUUUAUUAAAUGGCAGAAAUGGGCAAUGAUACCACAUACAUGAUUUCCUUUUUUAAUAGUGAAGUAUGUUUCAAUUCAGUUUCAGAAUUUUACAGUGAUAGGAUAAUGGCAAAUACGACAAGUAGAAAAGCCAGUGAAGUACUGGCAUGAGGAACACCAUGCAGACCAAUGGAAUAGAACAGACAGCAUUAUAUAAGCCCUCACAUUUGGUUAAUUGAUUUUCAACAAGCAUGCCAAGACCAUUCAGUGCAGAUAGGACAGGCUUUCCACAAAUGCUGGGAAACUGUAUAUCCAUAUAACAAAGCAUGAAGUUGGAUCCUCAAAAUAGAUGACAGACUUGAAUGCAAGAACUAAAAGUAUAAGAUCAUAAAUUAUAUGAGCACAGACAACAAGAGAAAAUAUAGACGAUCAAAAUUAAAAACUGCUGUGCAUCAAAGAACACUUUCAAAAAAGUGAAAAGAUAACCCACAAAAUGGGAGAAAUAUUUGCAAAUUUUUUAUAAAGGCCUAAUAUCCAGAAUAUAUAAAGAACUCUUACUCAACAACAACAAAAAUCUCCAUAACCUAAUUCAAAAGUGGGCAAAAGAUUUGAGCAGACAGUUCCCCAAAGAUAUGCAAAUGGUCAGUAAACACUUGAGGGACCAGCAUUGUGGUCCAGCAAGUUAAGACACCACUUGUGAGGCUGGCAUACCAUGUCAGGGUGCCAGUUCCUGUUCCAGCUCAUCUACUUCUGAUCUACUUUCCUGCUAAUGUGCCUUGGAAGAGAGCAGAUGGUGGCUCCAUGCUUGGGACCCUGAAAUUCAUGUGAGACCUGGAUGUGGUUCCUGGCUCCUACUUUAGCCUGGCCCAACCCUGGCUAUUGAGGAGUGAAUCAGGAGAUGGAAGAUUUUUCUCCAUCUCCCCCCACCUCUCUCUCUCUCUCUCUCUCUCUCUCUCUCUCUCUCUCUCUGUUGUUCUUGCCAUUCACAAAAAUAAAUCUUUAAAAAAAAAAAGCACCUGAAAAGAAGUUCAACAUCAUCAGAGGACAGUGAAAAUCAAAACCAAAAGAAAUACUGUUUCAUAUCUACUAGAAUGUCCAUGAGUAAAACAAAUGGCACAGAAAAUAAGUGUGGACAAAGAAAUUUAAACACUGGGAAACUGCCAGUAGGAAUGUAAAAUGGUACAGCUACUGUGGAAAACAGUUUGACGGUUCUGGAAAAUGUUAGACGUAAUUACCAUAUGAUCCAGCAAUUUCAAUCCCAACUACAUACCCCAAAGAAGUGAACAUAGGAACCUAGACUGUAUACCAAUGUUCAUAGCAGCAUUAUUCACAAUAACUGAAAGUUGGAGAUAAUUCAAAUGCCCAUCAACAAGUGAAUGGUAUAUGCACAUAAUGAACUAUUUUUAGCAACAGCAAGGAAUUAAAUUCUGGAACAUGUUAUAGCAUGGAUGAACUUUGAAAACAUUAGCCUAAGUGAAAUAAAUGACACAAAAACCAAAUAUUUUAUGAUUCCACUUAUAAGUGAUAUGUAGAGUAGCCAAAUUUAUAGAGAUGGGAAGUAGGAUGACGGUUACCAGAGGCUGGAGGAAGAGGCAAUGAGGAGUUAGUGUUUAAUGGGUACAGAGUUUCUGCUAGGAUGAUGAAAAAGUCCUGGAAAUGGAUAGUAGUGAUAGUUGCACAACAUUGUGUAUGUCUUAAUGCCUCUGAAUUGUGCACUUAAAAGUGAUUCAAAUGGUAAAUUUUGUUACAGAUGUGUUACCACAAUUAAAAAAAAAAAAAAAAACAAGAAAAGGAAGGAGUGGAGGAGAAAGCAUGUGGAAAUUGUGUUUGUGCCUCACCCUCUCAGAGUAGAAGAAAACUAAUGUAAUCACUUAGUGAGCAAGUUAGACUCAGUAUAGUGCAAGCAAAAAGUAAGUUUGCUUUCUCCCACUACUCAUUUCAGAUGUCUUUUUCCUAUUUGCUCUUUCCAGUCCUUUGAUUAAACUUUGACAAGUCCCAAAGCUUUUCUGAUCACUAUCAGUUAAGUUCAGAAUGUUGUCAUAUGAAAUGUUAAAACCCAUGUAAAACUCAUUUGUCCACCCUCCAAAAUAGGAUCUGCUUCAGGCCUAGAGAAUUUCUGUGGGAUGCAAGUGGGGAAGACAAGUUACUUCUCCCAUUUCCUUGAUCCACUACUUGCUAAUGCUGCUAUUGCUCCUCCAGGUUUGCAAGGGAAAAUCCUUCCCUGACUGGUAAAGUUGUCCUCUGAUGUUUGUGCUUUCUGAUUGUAUUGAAUUUUAAAUGUUGUUUGUCUCUUUUAUGGUGAUUUGUACAUUCUUUAGAAAACCUGUGUUCCCUGGAACCUUUCUCCCAUGCCUCCCUUGAUAGGGUUAAUGACUUCAUCAACUGGCUCCUUGGGGCUCCCUUUCAGCCCCUGCUUAGGGUUGCUAACAACAGGAGCAACCUUCUUCCAUCCAAGUAUUAACCAGGGCCGACCCUGCUAACAAGAUCAGAUGAGAUCAGGGGAAUUUAGGGGGGUAUGGCCAUAGACAGAGGAUGUCUUCUCAGCAGGACCCUUCCCAGAAUGAUGCAGUAUGUCUCUUCUACACAGUCCAGUAUGUGACCCACUAGAAAUUCCUUGCUCCACCAAAUUCAGCAAGUGGUCUUCUGUAGACAGCUGGCCAGCCUCAUUCUCUCCCCCUCAGUGUCCUUCAUGGUUCCUCUACUACUCUGAAAACUCUAAGGAAGAACGAACCAGGGUCUUCCCAAGUACCUGAUGAAUUCCUUGCCUUCUCUUAAGCAGUUUGGAGGUGAGGAUAGGCCAAACUAUGCAGAGCAGGCUUCCAGUUCCUCCUGUGAGUGCUACCCAGCACUGCCCUUUAAGGUAAGGGAAUUUUUCAAGUCGUAUUGUAGGGCCACUCCCAAAGCAGAAAGAGGGUCAUUGUAAUAACAAAAGUCUCCAAAAAGUCCACAGAAAAAUGCAUAUUCUGGAAAAACUAUGCAUGGAUUUCAUUUUUUUGCAAAGGAAGUUUAUUAUUUAAUUCUGUUUUUUUCCAUAAACUUUUUGAAGUAUCUUCGUAUCCUUCUACAUUGGAGCAGAAAGUCAUUAUCAUUUCUAUGUUUCAAGAAAGUCCUUUGCAAAGCUUGAGGGAAGACAGAAUACAGGACUAGGAUGACAUCCUUCCCUGGCCUCUCCACCCUUGGUCCCUGGUGACAAGCAGAAGAGCCCUUCCAGAAAAUCCUUCCAAACAUAGCUGCACCUUUUCUUGCCUUAGGAAAUGUAAUUCGGUGAAUGUAAUUGAACUGAAAAGAGAAAAGACAGUCUAACAUGCCUUCAUGUUCCGAAUGGCAAUUCUUCUUGUGCAGACAACACAAGAUCUUUGGAUAUUUCUCCAAUGAAAAAGAUGCUCUUUCUUCAAAGAUGGAUUUAGAAAAUUUGAUUUUCCUGGUCUCCAGAAAACAACGAGUUAAAAUUGCAGGUAGUAGAAGAUGGGACGUGAUCAAGUGCAUUGUCAAGAUUCCUCAAUUGGAUUUACUAGUAACAGCUUCUCAGACAGGAUUACUCACUGUCUUUAACAGCCAGAUGAAAGUUCAGACCAGCAUCAAUGUUACAGGUACCUCCUGGAUUACAGGAUGUGAUUACCUCUUACAGCUGAAACGAAUUGUUGCCAUUACAGAAAGGAGCAUCAUUAUCUGGGAUUAUAAAGCUCAAGAGAACAGCCAGGAAAACUACUUUGUUAUCAAGCCCAUGGACCACCGCCUCCUGUGUGUGUGUGUGGUGCCUAUGCCUGAACAGCUCUACAGAGAUGACAUCCUCUUUGGGGAUGACAGUGGUUUUGUGACCAGAUUCACCAUAAAUAGUGUUGACUUUGGACUAAAGCAGACAAAAUCCAAAAGGAAAUUUAAAAAUCAGGUCUUGAAUUCAAAGAACUUUAAAAGUGUUAAAAGGAAGCUGCAUAAUGACUUGGUUAUGAAAAUUAGAUAUAUUCCAGCCCUAAAUUGCUUUGGAUCCUGCUCCUUAGACAGUGUCCAUUCAUUUGUUUUGGAAUCAUUGAAGAGACUUGAGGAUAAUUUGCCUGUCAGAGAGUUUGCCAUACCAAGAGGAGCCAACACAUUUUGCUACUGUUCCAAAGCAAAUGUGAUUGUUACUGGAGGAGAAGAUAAGGUACUCCGUCUGUGGCACCCCAACAUCAGCACCAAACCAGUGGGGAAACUUGUGGGACACAUGUUCAGUGUCACUGAGAUUGUAACCAAUGAGAAAGAUCAACACGUCAUCAGCCUUUCCUCUGCAAAGGUUUUCAGGGUGUGGGAUAUACAGACUCUCUCGCUACUUCAAAUCUUCCAUGAUACCCAGGGAGGACCAGGAGACAUGCAGAUUUAUUCUAUGAUAUAUGAUGCCAAUCAUGGCAUGCUCAUAACAGGGUCUAGUGUUAUGGACAUGUACCCUUUGUCAAGGAUGAUACAAGAUACAGAACAUGUUCCUCACACACAUAAACAAGAAAUCAAUGUCAUGCUUUACAACAAAUCUUUUCACCAAGUACUCACUAUUUGCUCUGAAUCCAUAAUUAAGGUAUGGGAACUCGAGACUGGUUUCCAAAUAUACCAGAUUUCAGAUGCUCAUGGCUACGCUGUUGAAGUGACAUCAGGGGCUAUUGAUGAAAGUGGAUUUUGUUUUGCCACAGGAGCAUAUAAUGGAACAGUGAAAAUCUGGGACUUUGGCAGUGGGCAAGAGAUGAAAGUGUUGCCUAAAGGGAAAGAAUGGAAGGAGGAAGAGCACUGGGUGAAACGUCUGAUUUUCCUCAAAGCUCAAGAAAAACAGCAGAACUUGAUCCUUGCCUUGGAGCGCAACGGAGCUAUCAAAAUCAUGCAGGGCAAGGAAGAUGAUAUUUUCCUCACUGUGAUAUGGGAGCUGCCUGAUGCCAUGCCUUAUUUCCAGAAUGGGAUUCACGUGGUGCAUCUGGAGAUGUCUACUAGAGACAGGAACAUGGCUAUUCCUUUCCCAGAUGUCAAAUUAAUAGUUGAGAAAAAGUUUCCUCAUCACACUACUAACCCUGCCAUUAGUACUGAAGUCAACUGUGUUAAUUUGUUACAAGUAGAAGGAUAUAAUUUGAUAGCUGUUGGAACCGUAAAUGGUGUGAUCAUCUUAUGGAAUUUUGUAACAGCUACUGUCAAAGAAGUGUACCGACCCGAAGAUUCCUUCAGUGUGGACAGUAACGUGGAUCCCAAACACUUAAGAAUAAAUGAUAUACUGUUCCUCUUUCGUACACCUGAAUGUGAAAGAUCAAGUCAAGAUUCCAUUGGCUCCUCAAGCCAGUGUGACUCUAGCAAGGGUCCACAGAGUUGUAAGGGAAGCAGACAAAGUAUACAUGACGGUGAUGUUAAAGGUGAACAUACAGAUGUUACAGUGAGAGAGACACAUGCAGUGGACAAAAAACAUUUCGGAGCUGCCAACUUAAUAGAAUCUCAGCCACCCAUCCUUGCCACUGCUCAUGAAGAUGGACACCUCCGCUUGUGGACUAUGGAGGGAAGGCUAAUAAAAGAUACACUACCUUUCACAAAACAUUCUGCCAUUCCUCUGGCAUCACUGUAUACUGAUUCACGCACCAGGAUGCUACUGACUGGAAAUAUGGAAGGACAUGUUAUCAUAUUCAGCAUUAAUUCCUUCCUGGAACCUCCUCAUGAUGAAAUGAAAUUCAAGCAGCUGCUUUCCUGGCGUGCCCAUGCUUUAGAAAUUAUUCAAGUAAUCUACGUGGAAGACAAACAAGUAGUGCUUACAGCCUCCAUCGAUGGCUCAGUAAGGCUUUGGCAUGCCCUCAGUGGUCAUUACUGUGGCUACUUUGGACAGCGAAGGAACUUUGAAUUAUCACAGACAAGUGAUUUCAUUUUGCCUUGUGAUGUUAGUGAAUAUCCCAUAGAAAUGAAAGAAGAAAGCAAUUUAACAGAAAAGGAAAGAUACGAAUAUCCUCUGGUAUUUGACCGAACAAGAUGGAGGAAAAUAAGCUCAAUGUCUUUACUAUUCAAAUGUACACCUCCCAAGCCCUUUGAAGUGGAACAUGAUUUUAAGUUUUUCAAGUCUCUUUCUUCUCCCAAGACUCAAAAAUAUGCCUUGGAAAGUUCCUUGAGUGAAAACAUUAAGGCAGGGAUUGUAUUCGGUUCUCUGCCUAUAUAUAGGGUUCCAAGUCCCCCUAGUCUAAGAUUCCUUCCACUCAUUGGUUCAGAUGCACGAAGUGAAUCUUUAGAUGGCAUUUCUGGAAAAAAGAAAGGAGGUCAUGCUCAACAUGAAAAAGCACCACGGAGGAGAAGUCUGAAAACAAAUUUAGUUCCACAAAUAAAUCUGGCUUCAUCCUUCUUUCCAGCAGUGCCUAAGAUAUAGAAGUAGGAGCUAUCAUUCAUCUCACUGAAAGAAUUGUUGAACAGAGAUUUCUCAAAAUUCUGGCCACAGCAGGGAUAUUAACUACCAAGAAAGCACCUAGAGAAGAAACACUCUAUGGAAAAAGUGUUGCAGUUACUAAGCUUGACUACUUGAAGUUACAAACCACUUACGGUGACUCCUCUCCUGAUCCCUUCUUGUAUCAGGCCACUCUCCAAGGCCAUGAAGGCCAACCACUGUCGGCCCUCAUCACAGAGCUUGAUCCUUGACAGUUUGCUGAUCCCAACUACCACAGAGUGGCUCUUGCUCUACAAAAUAAAAAAAAUAAAAAAGCUCUUGCUCCGGGUGAAACUUGGCUUCUGGUAGUACUAUCCUCAGUCUUUCUCCCUAGCU